rnacentral:ncRNA from 1 species
UGCGCAGGGCAUGUUUCAUGACGAUAUUCGAAAACGACACGCCCUUGAGCCGCGCGGUGCGGAUAUAUUGCGCGGUCAUCACCUCGGCCAUCGACGCUCGUGUCAUCCGGGCAAUAUAGCCCAUGCCAUACAGCGCAAUGGUCAACACCGGCAGAAAGAAGUUGCCGAAAUUGGCAUCA